GUUACAGAACUUCUUGGGACAAUCCCGAGCAAUAUGACCAAAAGUUUUACAACAAAAGCACUGCACAACACACAUGUCUUUACCCUUAUUCCUCCCCUGUGUUGCAUAAGCCACAGUAACAGGUGCACUAGCAGGAGCCUGAUGUGCCAAGAAAGUGUGAGUGAGUAGAAGCUGCUCCUCACGAAGAAUUUCACUAAAACAAGCAUCCAAAGAUGGAAUAGGAUCAUGAUUAAUCAGAUUAGAACGUGUAAUGUCAAAGUCAGGUCGUAGCUUCAUCAAGAAUUGAUCUCUCUUGCUGGUUGCAUGCACUGCUUGAACAGCAGUGAGAGCUUCAACGGAAACACUAGUAUAAACAAUAUUAAAAUAGUCAGCCCAAACGUUUUGAAAACUAGAAUAAUAUUCCUCAAUGGAAAGACUUCCUUAUGUGAAAUUAGUCAUCUCAUAUUCCAAUUGAAAUCGCCUAGCGGAGUGAUCUUGAUUGUAAACCGUGUUGAGAUAAUUCCACAUGUCAGCAACAGUUUUAUAAGGCCGCAGGUUAAGAACAAGCCGAGGCUCAACAGAGCCAAGGAUCCAGGUCAUGACUCUAGCAUCCUUGAUUUCCCACUUUGACAAAGUCUUGACAUCGCGAAGUGCGGGAUCACUCCCAUCAAUAUGACCUCACAAUUCUUUCCUUUUGACAAAUAAUUGAAAUUGAAAUGCCUAAGCAGAAUAAUUUUUGCUAGUAAAUUGAAUAUGAAACGAUUCUAACUUAUCAGAUGACAUGAUGCAACCCAGAGAAGAAAUAUAUAUAGUGCUGAGAACACCCAACCAGAAAAGACAAACAAAGUUGUCGAAAAAGUGACCCACGUAAGAAAUAGAAAAAAAAAAAUUGGCACCGACAAAAGGCCAUAAACAGCAAUAGAGGCCAGAAACCUCUCCUUAGCAACACGACAGAGUACACCGAAGUGCAGAACACGACCAGAAAUACCAAAAACAACAACAGAUGGCGCCGAUACCCACAACCCCAGAAAC